CCUACGGGCGGCAGCAGUGGGGAAUAUUGCGCAAUGGGCGCAAGCCUGACCCAGCAAUGCCGCGUGAAGGAAGACGGUUUUCGGGUUGUAAACUUCUAUGACAGGGGAAGAGCAGAAGACGGUUCCCUAAAAACAAGCCACGGCCAAAUACGGGCCAGGCGCCGCGGUAAUACGUAGGUGGCAAGCGUUUUCCGGAUUUACUGGGUGUAAAGGGCGGGGAGCCGGGAAGGCAAGUCAGAUGUGAAAUCCGGAGGCUCAACCUCCGAAUUGCAUUUGAAACUGUUUUUCUUGAGUACUGGAGAGGCAGACGGAAUUCCGUGUGUAGCGGUGAAAUGCGUAGAUAUAAGGAGGAACACCAGUGGCGAAGGCGGUCUGCUGGACAGCAACUGACGGUGAGGCGCGAAAGCGUGGGGAGCGAACAGGAUUAGAUACCCUGGUAGUC
rnacentral:rRNA from 1 species